CGCCUGUUCACCGUCGUCAUGGUUUUGCAAAAAAGGCCCUACAAUUUCUGAUAAUUGAACCCGCCAUCCCUACGUAAGUGGAUCUGAAAAAACGUUUCAAUGUUGCAAAUUAACCCCUACAUUUUUAGAAUUUUGUCCGCGCUCCUUUCUUCAUCCCAUAACAGUGGCAGAGAAGGUGGAAGGGGGGCAGGUUCGGCUGGGCGGCUGGGCUCCCAUCGGCGAGCUCGACGGCGUGGAAGGUGCCCGCCUCGUCGGCCGGCGUCCGUCUCGGAAUGCCCCCGCCUCCGGCCCUCUCGGCCUCUCCAGGUGGUCGUCAGCGCGAGCGAACGCAUCUCUCCCGCAGCGUCUGUCAGCGCCAGCGACUAGGAACGGGGAAUGGCCCGAGGCGUCGCAACGGAGGCUAUAAGGCGGCCGGCGUGCUCGCUUGGGGCGCUGGACCAAGCACGACAGCACCGGAGGCGCCGUCGUGGGGCUGAUGCCGUUGCUCGCCACCAGCACCAGCUGCAACAUGGCCGCGUUCCUCGGGCGCCACAGCGGCAGCAGAGCCCUCCUCCGACUGUAAGAUGGCCGCGCUGCUGAUCUCGCCAGAGUCGUCGAGGCGAAGCAGGGUUCCGGCGGCGGUCAUUGAAGCAUCCAUGGCAGAGGGCCCGGAUCUGGCCUGCAACGGGCGCCGGCGACCUUCGGGCCUCUGCCUGCAUAGAAUAGAGAACACGGUGAGAGAGAGGGACGGAGGGCAGGGGACGAGAUACAGCGGCGGCGCUCGAUCUGGUGUGGAUCGGCCUGCAGGCAGUCGAUAUGAGGAAGAGAGAGAGAAACGAACGGGGUGAUAGAAUAGAUCAAUAGAACGAGUGUAUGAAUGGAUAACUUCGAAGUGUCGCUUGAACGAGUACACGUUAUGGUUAUACGUGGCGUCCCCUCGACCCGAACGACGUGUGGCUGAGUUCCGUCGGUUAUUAUUUCUUUU
rnacentral:rRNA from 1 species